UUGAUUAUGCCAUUGCCAUAAAAUUUGCACUUACCUUCAUUGUGAACCAUUUCAACUACUUAGUUUACUUCAAAAAACAUUGUGAACCAUUUUAACUGGUGCAAAGUAUAAAAAAGAAAGACAAUUCAUUACCUUCACAAAAGUAAAAGCAUCUAAAAAAUUAAAAAUACAAUUAAAUGCCCAUCCAGCUGGCUCCACUGCAUAUAGUUGUGGUGUCUUUCUAGUGAAAAGGGGCAGAAUCCAAAAAAAGCAUUCAGCUUUAAGCCUAAUUCAGUAGUGAGUUGCAUUUCAUUAUUAUCAAAUUUAGCAUGAAAGAGGGCAUACUUUAAAUUUGCAGGAAUGGACACAAGAGCAUACCGUUUAAGCUGCUUAAAGGACAGUGAUGUUUUUGAAGUAGAUUUUCCAGAAGUCUUGCGAGUGAAAACCACUCUUCUUCAGGCAGCAAUUGAGUCCACUGAGCAUUUUAGGAUGAAAGCAAAAUCAUUAAUCAGAGUAGCUGCUGAUGUAAGAGAAACUGACUGGCCUGAAAAGCUUCAGCUAUCAGGUUUUUUGCCAGAGAAGAAAACAGUAUGGGUUCUAGAAGGCAUCCUCUACUACCUUUCCCAUUCCAAUGCUAUGCAGGUGCUCAAGAUCAUUGCGGACAAAUGUGCUGUCACUCAAACAGUUCUCUUAGCAGAUUUCAUGAACAAACCAUCAACCACACUCGCUGAUUCAAUCUUUCACUUCUAUAGUGAUUGGCCCGAUCAUAUGCUGCCAUCACUAGGAUUUUCUCAUGUUAGGCUUUCACAGAUU
rnacentral:lncRNA from 1 species